UACGGAGGGAGCAAGCGUUACUCGGAAUUAUUGGGCGUAAAGGGCGCGUAGGCGAUUUGAAAAGUCUUGUGUGAAAGCCCCGAGCUUAACUCGGGAAGUGCACAAGAAACUGUUGAAUUUGAGUUCCGGAGAGGAAGGCAGAAUUCCCGGUGUAGCGGUGAAAUGCGUAGAGAUCGGAAAGAACACCAACGGCGAAAGCACUCUGCUGGGCCGACACUGACACUGAGAGACGAAAGCUAGGGGAGCGAAUGGG
rnacentral:rRNA from 1 species